AUAUCAAUAUCGUUUAUUGAUUAUGUUUCCUUACUCUCAUGUCAGCCACCAUUGAAAAAGCGGUGCAGUUCAUAGAAAGCACUCAAGAGGCAGAUGGUUCACGGUAUGGAAGUUGUCGAGUUUGUUACACAUAUGCAUCAUGGUUUGCUCUAGAAGCUCGGCAGUAACUGGCAAAACGUAUGAAACUGUUUGGCUAUGGUGAAGGUGCUGACUUCUUUCUCAAGAGACAAAACAGCAAUGGAGGUUGAGGAGAAAGCUAUAUGUCUUCCUCUGAAAAGGUGAUGUCUCUUCUAUAAUCAAUUUUGAAGAUUUAAGUUCUCUAAAAUCUCUCUCCAAAACUCUUGAAUGUUCUUGGAUAUGCAGACAUACAUAGAACUAGGAGGAAGAGCAAACCUGGUGCAAAUCUCUUAGGCAUUGAUAAGUCUGAUUCAAACAGGACAAGUCUGCCAAACAAAUGUUACAAAUUCCAUUUCCCAACAUUUCUGUUAAAAAAGUAUGUUGUGUUUAAUUGAUAUAUUUGUUAACAGGCCGCCGAGAGAUAUACGUAGCGUCUUCACAGCGUUAAGAAACUGAUCAUCAGCUCGCAGUUAGAAAAGGAGAAUACCCUCAACAGCUGCAAAGGAAGCAGGUGCAGCAGUAGCAGCUCGAGCUUAUGAAGCUCCAAAGACGCUGAGAGGAAAAAAAAAAACAUCUGCAAAGUGGUAAACAAACUCUUCUUAUAUCACACAACACAUGGUAAAGAAUAUAUUUUUUCAUGGUAGUAUUGAAAAUUUGAUUAAAAAGAUGGUUUGUAUGUGAGAUGACAUGACAAAGAAGAAGAAGAAGAAGAAGAAGAAGAAGAAGAAGCUAAAUGUGUUGCGUUGCAGGUGUAGGGAGAGGGAGAAGGAGAGGGAGAGAAGCGCAUAAGUAGUGUUUGUGUGUUGAUGAUUUUCUACUUGGAAACUCUUUUGUAAGCAAUAAUCUCAUAUGCUAAAGCCAUUGUAUUAUUGCUCACUUCAUUUUACAGCCAAACUAAGUUUUAAAAACUGAAAACAUAAAACGCUACAAUUUUCUUUGGUUGACA